rnacentral:rRNA from 1 species
AUUGAACGCUGGCGGCAGGCCUAACACAUGCAAGUCGAGCGAGCGGCGGACGGGUGAGUAAUGUCUGGGAAACUGCCUGAUGGAGGGGGAUAACUACUGGAAACGGUAGCUAAUACCGCAUACCCUCAGAUGUGCCCAGAUGGGAUUAGCUAGUAGGGGGGGUAACGGCUUACCGAGGCGACGAGCCCUAGCUGGUCUGAGAGGAUGACCAGCCACACUGUAACUGAGACACGGUCCAGACUCCUACGGGAGGCAGCAGUGGGGAAUAUUGCACAAGGGGCGCAAGCCGUAUGCAGCCAUGCCGCGUGGGUGAAGAAGGCCUUCGGGUUGUAAAGCACUUUCAGCGGGGAGGCGUUACCCGCAGAAGAAGCACCGGCUAACUCCGUGCCAGCAGCCGCGGUAAUUC